rnacentral:SRP_RNA from 1 species
UGCUGGUCCCCUCGCAACGAUAAACCGUUAAUCUGGUCAGGUCCGGAAGGAAGCAGCCAC